rnacentral:rRNA from 1 species
CAGCCGCCGCGGUAAUACGUAGGUGGCGAGCGUUGUCCGGAAUUAUUGGGCGUAAAGGGAGCGCAGGCGGGCGAGUAAGUCUUUCUUAAAAGUGCGGGGCUCAACCCCGUGAGGGGAGAGAAACUACUCAUCUUGAGUGCAGGAGAGGAAAGCGGAAUUCCUAGUGUAGCGGUGAAAUGCGUAGAUAUUAGGAAGAACACCAGUGGCGAAGGCGGCUUUCUGGACUGUAACUGACGCUGAGGCUCGAAAGCCAGGGGAGCGAACGGGAUUAGAUACCCGCGUAGUCCCUGUCUCUUAUACC